rnacentral:rRNA from 1 species
CAGCAGCCGCGGUAAUACCAGCGAACUCAAAGGAAUUGACGGGAACUUAGCAGCCGCGGUAAUACGGAGGGUGCAAGCGUUAUCCGGAUUUACUGGGUUUAAAGGGUGUGUAGGCGGGCUUUUAAGUCUGGGGUGAAAUCUCCGAGCUCAACUCGGAAACUGCCUUGGAUACUAUUAGCCUUGAAUUAUGUUGAGGUAGGCGGAAUAUAACAUGUAGCGGUGAAAUGCAUAGAUAUGUUAUAGAACACCGAUUGCGAAGGCAGCUUACUAAGCAUAUAUUGACGCUGAGGCACGAAAGCGUGGGGAUCAAACAGGAUUAGAUACCCUGGUAGUCCACGCCCUAAACGAUGAUUACUCGUCAUACGAGAUACACUUUGUGUGACCAAGCGAAAGCGUUAAGUAAUCCACC